AUUGAACGCUGGCGGCAGGCCUAACACAUGCAAGUCGAGCGGAUGAAGGGAGCUUGCUCCUGGAUUCAGCGGCGGACGGGUGAGUAAUGCCUAGGAAUCUGCCUGGUAGUGGGGGAUAACGUCCGGAAACGGGCGCUAUUACCGCAUCCGUCCUGAGGGUGAAAGUGGGGGAUCUUCGGACCUCACGCUAUUAGAUGAGCCUAGGUCGGAUUAGCUAGUUGGUGGGGUAAAGGCCUACCAAGGCGACGAUCCGUAACUGGUCUGAGAGGAUGAUCAGUCACACUGGAACUGAGACACGGUCCAGACUCCUACGGGAGGCAGCAGUGGGGAAUAUUGGACAAUGGGCGAAAGCCUGAUCCAGCCAUGCCGCGUGUGUGAAGAAGGUCUUCGGAUUGUAAAGCACUUUAAGUUGGGAGGAAGGGCAGUAAGUUAAUACCUUGCUGUUUUGACGUUACCAACAGAAUAAGCACCGGCUAACUUCGUG
rnacentral:rRNA from 1 species